rnacentral:lncRNA from 1 species
CCAUCUCAAUGGGCCCCCAUUGAUUGUUGUUUUUAGAUUGGUAAGUUAGUCUAACCAAUCUCAAUGGACCCACAUUGACUUUGUUGUUUUUAGAUUGGUAUGUUAGUCUAACCAUCUCAAUGGACCCCCAUUGACUUUGUUGUUUUUAGAUUGGUAUGUUAGUCUAACCAUCUCAAUGGGC